rnacentral:rRNA from 1 species
UGGGGAAUCUUAGACAAUGGGCGCAAGCCUGAUCUAGCCAUGCCGCGUGAGUGACGAAGGCCUUAGGGUCGUAAAGCUCUUUCGCCAGGGAUGAUAAUGACAGUACCUGGUAAAGAAACCCCGGCUAACUCCGUGCCAGCAGCCGCGGUAAUACGGAGGGGGUUAGCGUUGUUCGGAAUUACUGGGCGUAAAGCGCGCGUAGGCGGAUUAUUAAGUUAGGGGUGAAAUCCCGGGGCUCAACCCCGGAACUGCCUCUAAUACUGGUAGUCUUGAGUUCGAGAGAGGUGAGUGGAAUUCCGAGUGUAGAGGUGAAAUUCGUAGAUAUUCGGAGGAACACCAGUGGCGAAGGCGGCUCACUGGCUCGAUACUGACGCUGAGGUGCGAAAGUGUGGGGAGCAAACAGG